CCCCCGAGAUAUCCUGGAGAACAAAGUCCCUUCCCAGUGGGGAAGCUCAUGAAAAGAUGGAUUGGCCAGAGAACCUGAUCAUCGCAUGGGACUGCCCAGGAAGCCAGAAGUCACGAAAGGCUCUUAUGUGCCAGCAGGAGAUGAUGAAAAGAAACAACAACCACAGCAGAGAAUGCAUAGACAGGAGGUGAGAGCAGCAGGGACUUCUAAAGAAGCCCUUUGUGUGAUUCCCAUAGAAGAAUCCAGAGAGCUUAAAUCGUUCUGAAUUUAAAACACAAAAAUACAACCAACUCACACAAAGAUAUCCUUGUUUUAAAGCCAACCCGCACAACACUGUGAGAACCAUUGACUUACAGAAGAUAUCUGUGAAAAUUGGUUAUCUCAGCUCAGCUGUUUGUGGAUCGAUCUUCUACCAGAAGGGGCUAAGUGCUAAGGAAUGGCUGCCUCCUUUUCUUGCCUGCUUACUCUUAGGUCUUUAUUCCUUUCCCCUUUAUCCUCGUGCCCACCACUCACGGAACCUUACCUAAUGUGUUAAGCCUCUUCUUCAUGGCAUUUCCAUGGCUAUUGAGAAAUUCCAAAACCUCAUGGGAAACAAGUUACUUAUCUCAACGUGGAAGAAAAACCCUCUGACUGGGCUCUCCAGGAAAUCUAACAAGCAAGUACUACAAACAGUAUCCAGCCAGAUUUUCCCUGCUGGCCUGUUGCUCGAAGAUCUAGUUCACUAGUACCAGUGAGUGCUUCUCCCUGGGAUUAAUUAAAGAUCUCUCUGCUACAGCCUGCCUUAAAUAUGUAGGGCAUCCAGAGACAAUUAAUGGGGAUCUGUGGAGCCUCCAGAUUGUGGAAGAUUGAAAGAUGAUUGAAAGAGGAGGGAAAAAAAAUCUUGCAGUGUCAUCCACCACGUCUUGCCUCCGGAAAUAACACCUUUAGAACACUGAAGUAUUCUGCACAUUUUAACCCAUCCGGAAGGCAGCUUUGGUGCCUCACCAGGCUAAGUCACCAUGCAGAUCUGCUUCUGGCUUCUCAUCCUUUGCUGGGUGAGCAUGGACAGGCCGCAACUUCUUCAUGCCUCUCUUUGUACACACUUAAAAGAAGGGAGUUCACUUUCCUGUGAAACCAAACUACAGGAUAAAGGCGUUACCUUGCAAUUUACUUUGAUUUAAAGUAUGCUCUGGAAAAAAUAAAUGAGACCACUUAACAAAUGAGAAAAACA
rnacentral:lncRNA from 1 species